AUUUAAAAAAUAAAAACAUUUAUUACAACCAAAAGCAUUUCUCACAAUCAGACACAUCGCCACAAAUCCCUCAGUCCUCCCCACCUUCGAACACACCGCCUGGCCUGGCCGCUUCUUGCUCUGGAGUCCACUUUCCUGAGCUUCUUUAGCUGCACUGUCCCGGCUGCCCAACGUCCUGAAUCCAUUCAGAAUGCUUCCCUUCAUGGUCCUCCAGACUCGGAGGAAACCAGUUGGAACAGCCCCAGAUCGGUUUGUCAGGUGGGUGAGGACACAGCGCAGUUUCACAAGCUGCCUUUUCGCUGGAUGGUGCUCGGCAGCAGCUUUUCAUCAUUAUUUGCUUUAUCACACCUGCAAAGACACUCAGGGAAGAGGACUCCAGAGCUGCUUCAGAAAGUGGCCAGGGUGAUGGGAUGUGUUGGAAGUGAGCAGAAGGAUUCUGAGGGGGAUUCAUGGCGAUGUGUCUUACUGUAAUGAAUUUUUUAAAAUUUCCAAUGUUAAGCAAAUAUUUUGAUCAUACAUGUAUAUAAUUAGAUUUUAUUUGCUUGUUUAUUUAUUUGAGCAGGGUCUUGCUGUGUCUCCCAGGCUGGCCCCAAAUUCACAGGUGUCCUCCUGCCUCAGCCUCCCAAGUGCUAGGGUUACAGGUGUGCACCACCCUGCCUUCCUGUUAAUGAGCGAAAUUUUAAUUUAAAACAUUGUAUGUGCUCCAGAGACAAGCAAAAUAAGUUUAAAAUUAAGUCAGCAAAGAUUUUACUUUUUAAAAAGCAUAACAAGGUUUAAGAAGGUAGAAUUUAAAGUAUACACUCAAAAGAGUGCAAGCCCUGGAGCGACAGGGCCUGGGGACACCUGUCCGCUCUUGGCAGUAGAAACUGCGGGCUUUGUAACUCCGAAGGAAGCUCCAGUCGGCCGGCCCAGAAGGACAAUGCCCGUCCACAGGAGGAAGGUGCGGCCGGUCUAUUUUUUGUUAAGCUGGGUGACCCAAGAUGUUUUGCCUAAAACAUUUUUUGAACUCUCUGACCUUCCCCUUAAGAUCAGGUUUCUGCCCUUUUUAUCAGCUAAACUAAUUUCUGGGCUUAGGAGUGGCUGUAAGGAUUCGGGGGUGUGACUGGCGGAGCAGGAGGUGCAGGGAGGGUGUAGCUGUGUCCUGAGGCCGCCGUCCGGGUUCUUAGUGCACCAUUCACAAAUUCUGAAGUCCGUGUUCUGCCUGCUUCAGGCUGGGGACGGAAAGCGUCACGCCGAGCUAGAGGCGUGGAGGGUCAGGUUGCGUUGCUCAGCCAGAACGUCACUCGCCCUACAACCGUGUCAGAGGAGCAGGGCCCCGUUACCGGAGGGAUGCUGAUGCGCAGUGGCUGCAGACGUGCAUUUGCACAGGUCAAACACGCACUCGGACAGCAAGCUUUCACCGAGCGAGGGCGUGGACGCACGCGAGCCCAGGGAGCGGCCGCGGGGUGGGAAGUGGAGGGCGAGGGGCUGGGAAGGACUCGGCCAUAGGUGAGGACUCCGCUCGCUCCGAGGUCGGCGGGGGGCGUGGGCUGUGGGUGCGGCCUCCGGGAGGAGACUUCGGAUCCCUCGGGGCGCGGGCUGCUCCUGGGCCUCGCAGCUGCUGGGAAGGAGGCCGCUCCUGCACGUCCCGGGCCUGAGCUCGAGGACGGAGGAUUCCAGGGCGGGCCCGCGGCCUUUCCUUUUGCGCGCCUGGGAGGAGCCGCCCUCCGCCGUCUCCGCCCGACAGGGCCGUCCCCUCGCGUGGGGCCUCAGGUCCGCGCCUCCCCGCGGCCCGGAAGAGCCCGAGAGCCUCCUGCCGUCCCCGGCCAGCGGGCCCUGGGGACGCCCGGGCGCAAC
ensembl:lncRNA